GUGGGGAAUAUUGGACAAUGGGCGCAAGCCUGAUCCAGCCAUGCCGCGUGUGUGAAGAAGGCCUUCGGGUUGUAAAGCACUUUUGUUGGGAAAGAAAUCCUGUCGGCUAAUACCCGGCGGGGAUGACGGUACCCAAAGAAUAAGCACCGGCUAACUUCGUGCCAGCAGCCGCGGUAAUACGAAGGGUGCAAGCGUUACUCGGAAUUACUGGGCGUAAAGCGUGCGUAGGUGGUUCGUUAAGUCAGAUGUGAAAGCCCCGGGCUCAACCUGGGAAUUGCAUUUGAUACUGGCGGACUAGAGUGCGGUAGAGGAGAGUGGAAUUCCCGGUGUAGCAGUGAAAUGCGUAGAGAUCGGGAGGAACAUCAGUUGCGAAGGCGGCUCUCUGGACCAGCACUGACACUGAGGCACGAAAGCGUGGGGAGCAAACAGGAUUAGAUACCCUUGUAGUCC
rnacentral:rRNA from 1 species